UACAGAGGGUGCAAGCGUUGUCCGGAAUCACUGGGCGUAAAGGGCGCGUAGGCGGCCUGAUAAGUCGGGGGGUGAAAAUUCUGCGGCUUAACCGCAGGACGGCCUUCGAGACUGUCGGGCUUGAGCACGGUAGAGGCUGGUGGAAUUCCCGGUGUAGCGGUGGAAAUGCGUAGAGAUCGGGAAGAACAUCGGUGGCGAAG
rnacentral:rRNA from 1 species